AGCGAACGCUGGCGGCAGGCCUAACACAUGCAAGUCGAACGAACCUUUCGGGGUUAGUGGCUGACGGGUGAGUAACACGUGGGAACGUGCCUUUAGGUUCGGAAUAACUCAGUGAAACUUGUGCUAAUACCGAAUGUGCCCUUCGGGGGAAAGAUUAAUCGCCUUUAGAGCGGCCCGCGUCUGAUUAGCUAGUUGGUUGAGGUAAUGGCUCACCAAGGCGACGAUCAGUAGCUGGUCUGAGAGGAUGAUCAGCCACAUUGGGACUGAGACACGGCCCAAACUCCUACGGGAGGAAGCAGUGGGGAAUCUUGCGCAAUGGGCGAAAGCCUGAAGCAGCCAUGCCGCGUGAAUGAUGAAGGUCUUAGGAUUGUAAAAUUCUUUCACCGGGGACGAUAAUGACGGUACCCGGAGAAGAAGCCCCGGCUAACUUCGUG
rnacentral:rRNA from 1 species